rnacentral:rRNA from 1 species
AAAGGAAUAGACGGGAGCCCGCACAAGCAGUGGAGUAUGUGGUUUAAUUCGACGCAACGCGAAGAACCUUACCAGGAUUUGACAUCCCAGGAAUUCGUCGUAAUGGAUGAAGUGCCUCUUCGGAGGAAUCUGGUGACAGGUGGUGCAUGGUUGUCGUCAGCUCGUGUCGUGAGAUGUUGGGUUAAGUCCCGCAACGAGCGCAACCCCUACGGUUAGUUGCUACGCAAGAGCACUCUGGCCGGACUGCCGUUGACAAAACGGAGGAAGGUGGGGAUGACGUCAAAUCAUCAUGCCCCUUACAUUCUGGGCUACACACGUACUACAAUGGCGAGAACAAAGGGAAGCAAUACCGCGAGGUGGAGCAAACCCCAUAAAAAUCGCCCCAGUUCAGACUGCAGGCUGCAACCCGCCUGCACGAAGUUGGAAUUGCUAGUAAUCGCGAAUCAGCAUGUCGCGGUGAAUACGUUCCCGGGCUUUGUACACACCGCCCGU